AGCAGCCGCGGUAAUUCCANGCUCCCAUAGCGUAUAUUAAAGUUGUUGCAGUUAAAAAGCUCGUAGUNGAAUUUCCGGGGUCAGUAGGUCGGUCGNUGCCNCUGGUAUGAACCUGGUUUUNCCUGAUUCCUCCCUCNUGNAGAACNUGUAAUGCCAUUAAUUNGGUGUNGCAGAGAAUCAGGACUGUUACUUUGAAAAAAUUAGAGUGUUUAAAGCAGGCUUUAGCUUGAAUUCAUUAGGCAUGGAAUAAUGAAAUAGGACGUUUGAUCCUAUUUUGUUGGUUUCUAGGAUUGACGUAAUGAUUAAUAGGGAUAGUUGGGGGCAUUAGUAUUCAAUUGUCAGAGGUGAAAUUCUUGGAUUUAUUGAAGACUAACUACUGCGAAAGCAUUUGCCAAGGAUGUUUUCAUUAAUCAAGAACGAAAGUUAGGGGAUCGAAGACGAUCAGAUAGCCGUCGUAGUCUUAACCAUAAAACUAUGCCGAGCUAUUUUAUAAGGGGGAUGUUAAUUUUUUAAUGANCUNCAUUNCGGCCG
rnacentral:rRNA from 1 species